rnacentral:lncRNA from 1 species
CAUAGGCAUUGAUUUCUUGCUCCCACUCUACUGUAACAAGACAAAUAUGUUUUCCUGAAAAAAACAAUGAUCCAGUUUUUCUCAACAAACAAAUAAUAAUGAUAACAGCAUCACUAAGUUCACCAUUUCAAUGCUUACACUCUGACUUCUCGAUCUGCUCUAAUGAAUAUGUUGCAUCUUCUAGACAAAUAAUCAUAAUGUCAUGCACUUUAAAUAUUUAGUGGGGAAACCCUGCCUAUCAUAUAUUGAGAGUUUCUUAUUUUGCCUUUCUGGAGGAGAUGUAUAUAACAAAUUGCCUAUAAAAUUUAUUGUUUAAACUAUCCGAACACAUCAAGGACCCACAUGAUACAAAGAGCAAUGACUUUUAAGUCUCGGUACUGGGCCCCAUACAGGUACCUUACCAGUACAGUACACCCCACCGACACAUGAUGAAAGGUUGGAGUCAGCAUAGCACCUGCACAAUCUGUUGGUAAAGAGGCUGUACCAAGCAUUCGUCAUAUCCAUACCACACCAUGUCAGCACAGUACAUAGUCAGGCCCGUGCUUAGAACCUUUACUGAAAGACAAGAGUUAUGUCUGUUUUAGCACCAUGGCCGUUUUAUUAUUGUAAAAUUUGAACAUUAUCUCCAAAAAAUUAUUACUGUUUAUGUAGCAUUCCAACAUUUGUUUCUUGAGUUAAAAAUUUUACCAGUGCCUAAAAUAUCAUCUUCAAACUUCAUACUCCUUUCUCAUCCCCAUUCCCCCUCAUAUAUUCUCCCAACUUCUAGAAAUUUUGAUUAUAAAGGGAAAAAAAAAAAAGAAGAUGCCAACGGCAUCAGGUUAGACUUGCAAGUACAAUACUUCAUUUCUUGAAUAUGUAGCUACAACACAGCUAGAACAUAUUCAACAUCCAUAUUUAGCCCCUGUUAUAACUUAUAAGUGUGACUUUUGAUCAGUAGGCACUACAGAAGCCAUCAACAUAAGCUUGCACCUAUCAAAUAUUCUAAUGUAUUCACCUGUCCAAAUAAAGAAAAGAAUGAUAAAAACAGGGAUAAAUGACUUAAUCUCUGAGCAGAUGUAUUUCCUGAAUGGCAUUGUGCAGUCAAGAAUCCAAAGCAGUCUUUAAUCUGGUGAUGAAAGAAAACUGAUGCUUGUGAAAAAGUCUGAAAGCAGAAGCAAUACAUGGCCAAAGCUAAGAAUGUUGUCAUAGACCAGACCCAUGCUGUUGCAGUUGAGCAUGCCCCAGAGAAGAUAUCAGAACCAAGAAGAAGAUAGACAUAGAUGCUGUAUGAAAGGAAAAUAAAGAGGCAGCAAGAGAAGAUGAGAUUCUAUCUUAAAAGCAAAUUUCACUAGUUCACAGAGUCAAAGUCACUCAACACCACAUUUGGCAACCAUUCCCUGUUCAAUUUGUUCGCCACAACUUAAAAUUUAUAAUUCACUUUUGCUUUGAUUCUUCCUCUUCCCCAGGCUUUUUAAGGAUAUACAAAGGAUGGUAAUAUGUGAUGGAGAUGUUGCAAAUGCUCAAAAAAUCGUAGAAAGGAAGCUCUAUUUUUCCAGUAGUUAUAUUCUCUAAUAUCAUAACAUGAAAGGGUUUGCAUGACCUAUGCAGCCAUGCAUAGCAAAAAGACAGUAUCUGGAAAUGUUACUUAAGAAAUCCGCUGUCAAAAGGCAAGCCCCCCUCCAUCCAUCUGCCUGUCUAUCUAUAAAGAACUUUUUGUCCUUUAGAAGUAUAAAUCCAUUAGUAAUAGAUUGCAGUCUCUUUCUUUCUUGAAGAGAAAUAAGAGAAUUCCACCACUAAACUUUGGUUUUGUUAGGAGGGGGGGGUGGGGGGUGGGGGUGGGGUUGGGAUUGCAUAUAUUGAUGAACACUGAUUUUGAGGAAGCCCUCAGGGAGAUGGGUUGCAGUCAUUCUCAAGCAUAAUACAUGCCAAGCAUGAUUGCAUUAUAAUUGGCAGCGUCUGUGUUAUUCUCAAGCUUACUAGAAAAUGGAUUGUUGCUCAAGUAUGUCGAUAUUUUUUUAAUCUAGUAAGCUUUUACAAAUGCAUAAAUGGGAACGGCGUCGUAAAGAUAAAGUAAAAUUAUAGAGAAAAGAAAACAUAAGUAAUCCAUUGAAGCUUGAAAUUUAAUGCAUAAAAUAUUCCAAAUGUAAAAUCUUUUACCAACAGCAUGUGGACAAAAUUGUUCCAGCUACCAAGAAAUGAAACAAAACAACUGAAACAACUGUGGAAACAGCAUGUGCCAUACUCUUGCCAUAC